rnacentral:tRNA from 1 species
UAGAUAUUAGUAAAACUAUUACAUAACUUUGUCAAAGUUAAAUUACUGGCUUAUACCCUGUAUAUCUUA